UGUUAUUGUUGUUCAUCACCAUUAACAUCAUUUUUUUCAUGAUAAAAGAAUAAGAAUCGAAGAAGAAAAUGUCUUUGACACGAAUAACAAAUGGUGUGGAAAAAUGGUGGA